UAAGCUGUAGUUUAAAAAAAAACAUUUAACUUACAAUUAAAAAUUACUAGUAUCAGCUUAA
rnacentral:tRNA from 1 species